rnacentral:rRNA from 1 species
GAUGAACGCUGGCGGCGUGCCUAAUACAUGCAAGUCGAGCGAACAGACGAGGAGCUUGCUCCUCUGACGUUAGCGGCGGACGGGUGAGUAACACGUGGAUAACCUACCUAUAAGACUGGGAUAACUUCGGGAAACCGGAGCUAAUACCGGAUAAUAUAUUGAACCGCAUGGUUCAAUAGUGAAAGACGGUUUUGCUGUCACUUAUAGAUGGAUCCGCGCCGCAUUAGCUAGUUGGUAAGGUAACGGCUUACCAAGGCAACGAUGCGUAGCCGACCUGAGAGGGUGAUCGGCCACACUGGAACUGAGACACGGUCCAGACUCCUACGGGAGGCAGCAGUAGGGAAUCUUCCGCAAUGGGCGAAAGCCUGACGGAGCAACGCCGCGUGAGUGAUGAAGGUCUUCGGAUCGUAAAACUCUGUUAUUAGGGAAGAACAAAUGUGUAAGUAACUAUGCACGUCUUGACGGUACCUAAUCAGAAAGCCACGACUAACUACGU